UACAAACAACACAAAAGCUGUUUGAUAGAUGCUCAAGGAACUGUUAUCUUAUAUAUACCUAAAACUAUAUACAACACACACAUAUCUUAAAGGAAGUUAAGCCACGGGGCUGACAAUGCACCUGACAAGAUUCAUAAACUAUCUGCAAGACCACCUGGAAUACUACUCAGCUGUUGAAAACAAGGAAAUCAUGAAAUUUGCAGGCAAAUGGAUGGAACUAGAAAAGAUCAUCCUGAGUGAGGUAACAGGCAUGGUAUACACUCAUUUAUAAGCAGAUAUUAGCCAUAUAAUACACUAAAUCUAACAUACUAAUAUACUAAAAUCUACAGACCUAAAGAAGCUAAACAACAAGGAGGACCCAAGGGAGGAUGCUUAAAUCUCAUUCAGAAUGGCAACAAGAUAGACACCAGAAGAGGGGGAACAGGAUGGCAGCCUGCUAUAGAGCAUCUUUGGAAAGGCUCCAUCUAACAAGAGAUUGAAGCAGAUGCUGAGACUCACAGCCAAACAUUGGGCAGAGCACCGGGAGUCCCAUAGAAAAAGGGAGGGAGGAGGAUAAAUGGAUACAGAAGGGAAUGGAAACCAACAAAGCUAAAAAAUCUGAGCCAAGGAAACUUUAAGUGUCAAUGGAUGAAAUAAUCUAAUAACAAACUAGAUGCUGAGGACUAGCAAGGUGGCUCAAUGGGAAAAGGUUAUCACAUUCAAACUUGGCUCCCUAUGGAGAGCCAGAUACACAGCCACAAGGGAAUCCUGAACAACAAAAGAAACCCAUAGUUAAAUGGAAUGUGGGGACUGGGUGUGACAGUGGUUUCUUUUGUAUUCCCAGAGAAGGAAUCCAUUUUGUCAUUCUCCAUAACUCCACCAGGCACUGUUUUGAAUAAAGAAUAGUUAGAGGGACAUAGGUAGAUUAGGAAAGCAAAAGUGACUGUCCUGAAAUGGUACUUCCUGUUUCCAGUGAUUUUGUUAGGGGGAACAACUGGAAGGCACUAGGGCAACUAUCUAGACAAGACCAGUAAGGACAAGGGGAGAACCCAGGAACCCUAAAAAAUACUCAAGCCAGUGUCUAAAGCAGUUUCAGCCAUUGGCUUCUCCUAUACCAGAUAUAUGAAUUAUUUUUCUAUUCUUUUCUUUGUGGCCUGAUCUCUUGGUUUGCCUUUCCUGGUCACUAAAUUCUUUGUUUGUGCCAGGAAAUGAGCCCAGAAAUCCUCUAGACAACUGCCUUCAAUGCCUCCACCACUCCAUUACAUUUUUAUAAAUUUAAAUUUAAUUUUUAUAAUUAUUUCACUUUACAUUACAUCCCGAUUGUAGCCCCCGCCCGCAUCUCCUCCCAGUCCCACUCUCCCACCCUCCCUCUUCUCUCUAUUCUUUUUCCCUAUUCCUCAGAAAGAGGGAACCUUCCUCCCCUACCAUCUAACCUCAGCCUAUCAAGUCUCAUUAGGAAUGCCUGUAUCCUCUUUCUUUGUGACCUGGCAAGCCUUACACACACACACACCAGGGGGAAGUGAUCGAAGAGCUGGCAAUAGAGUCCAUGUCAGAGACAGCCCUUGCUCCUUUCACUAGGAACACACAUGGAGACUGAGUUCAGAUUGGCUACAUCUGAGCAGGGCAUCUAGGUCCUCUCCUUGGUGCAUCAUUCUCUGCAGGACCAGAUUUGUUGGAGUAUCAGUCUCAGAAAAGACCCCUGUGCUCAGAUAUUUUGGUUCUGUUGCUCUCCUCGUGGAGCCGCUGCCUUUCCAGGUCUUACUAACUCCUCCUUCUUUCAUAUGAUUCCCUGAACUCUGCCCAAAGUUUGGUUAUGAGUCGCAGCAUCUGCUUUGAUACAUUGCUGGGUAGAGUUUUUCAGAGUCUUUCAGAGCCUCUGUGGUAGGCUCCUGUCCUGUUUCCGGUUUUCUUCUUCUUCCAAAGUCCAUCCUUUUUGUCUUUCUGAGUGAGGAUUGAUCAUCUUACCCAGGGUCCUUCUUGUUUAGCUUGUUUAGGUGUACAGAUUUUAGUAUGUUUAUCCUGUAUGAUAAGUUUAGUAACCAUUUAUAAGUGAGUAUGUACCAUUUGUGUCUUUCUGCUUCUAGGAUACCUCACUCGGGAUGAUCUUUUCUAGAUCCCACCAGUUGCCUGCAAAUUUCAUGAUUUCCUUGUUUUGUUUUUUUAACUUUUAUUAAUUACACUUUAUUCACUUUGUAUCCCUCCAUAAACCCUUCCCUCCUCCCCUCCCCCUUCUUCACGCAUGCCCCUCCCCAAGUCCACUGAUAGGGGAGGUUCUGCUUCUGGGAUAGCUCACUCAGAAUGAUCCUUUCCAGCUCCCAUUUACCUGCAAAUUUCAUGAUUUCCUUGUUUUUCAUUGCUGAGUAAUAUUCCAUUGUGUAGAUGUACCACAAUUUCUGUAUCCAUUUCUCCACUGAGGGGCAUCUAGGCUGUUUCCAGCUUCUGGCUAUUACAAAUAAGGCUGCUACAAACAUGGUUGAGCAAAUGUUCUUAUUGUGUACUUGAGCCUCUUUUGGAUAUAUGCCUAGAAGUGGUAUGGCUGGAUCUUGAGGAAGCACUGUUCCUAGUUGUCUGAGAAAGCACCAGAUUGAUUUCCAGAGUGGUUGUAUAAGUUUACAUUCCCACCAGCAGUGGAGGAGGGUUCCCCUUUCUCCACAACCUCUCCAGCAUGUGUUGUCACUUGAGUUUUUCAUCUUGGCCAUACUGAUGGGUGGACAGUGAAAUAUCAGGGUCAUUUUGAUUUGCAUUUCCCUGAUAGCUAAUAAGGUUGAGCAUUUCUUUAAGUGUUUCUCUGCCAUUCGAUAUUCCUCUAUCAAGAAUUCUCUGUUUAUCUCUCUUCAUCAUUUUUUAAUUGGUUACUUGGUUUGUUGCUUUUCAGCUUCUUCAGUUCUUUAUAUAUACUGGAUAUUAGCCCUCUGGUGAAGAUUCUUUCCCAAUCUGUAGGCAGUCAUUUUGUUCAGAGGACAGUGUCCUUUGCUUUAUCGAAGCUUUUCAGUUUCAUGAGGUCCCAUUUACUGAUUGUUGUUCUUAGAGCCUGUGUUGUUGAUACUCUGUUCAGGAAGUUGUCUCCUGUACCAAUGAGUUCUAGGGUCUUCUCCACUUUUUCUUUUAACCGAUUUAAUAUAUCUGGUUUUAUGUUGGGGUCUUUGAUCCACUUGAUUUCCUUGUUUUUAAUUGCUGAGUAGUAUUCCAUUGGAAUCACAACUUUCUCAGUAAACAAAUUGACUAUAAAGUUCCGGUAUGUGGGUAAGGAAAUAUGUUGAAAUUACACUUGCGAAAAGGCAUGUACUGAAAAGGCCAUUAUGCAGUUGUCUAUGCAUCUCCCUACUAACUCUCUACAUAUGAAUGUACAAAGAGAGAAAUCCACCUGCGUAUACUGUGUACCUACUUCAGUCAAGUUGGUGAUGAAGAUUAAUCAACACAGAUUGUUCUUUGGAACAUUGUUUCACUAUGUCAACCAGGGACCUUCCUUUCACAAGCCUCUUGCCACAGCCUCUGAAGGGCUUAGACGAGAUCAUCAGUCACCCAACACACUACUGUCAAUGUAGAUGAAAAACGUUAGGCCACUCCUUUCCACUCAGACAUACCUCCUGAGUCCUAUACGUUAUUCAGAAGCUAUCUUAUUCCAACUAUCUUUGUGAUCUGAAUUUUUCUAAACCAUGAAGUAGAAAGGAACCUCAAACCACAGAAUGGCUAUUUAGUCGUUAUGCUAGAAUUUGUGUGAAUGAUGAUUAUAAAUACUAAGAGCCAUGAAUUUUUUUUGUUGUUAUAUUCUCAAAUCUAAACUCUUUGAGCUAUUGGCUAUUUUUUUAUAUUAUUUAUCUCUUGUUUGAAAUGAAAUGAGAAUAUGAAUAAAGAUAAAAUAACAAUAUUAACCAUAACAUAGGAGAUUUGUAAAUAGCAUUAAAGUGUCACUAAAUUAAUUUCUAAUAUUCUCUUAGGAAUGUAAUGUAUGUCUCCUCUUUACUAGGUCAAGUAAUGAUGGUAGCUUAGCUCCACCUCCUGGGUUAUUGCAGAAGCAGAGAACACAGGCGCUGGCAACUGUUUACAUUGUAAACUUUAGUCUUUUCCAUCAUUAUGAGUGACUGAAAUAGUUAAUGUUUCUGUGCUAGGGUGACACAAGCCAAAGUCCCUUCAUAAUUUUCCAUUGAUCUUGUUGGUCACUAGAAUCUCAGGCUCUUUAGGAAACACCCAUCUGUAGAUGCAGCUGUGCUCAUCAAACACUAGAUGGAGCCAGAAAGCAAAAAAGCAAAUGAAAACCUAAAAGUCCAGUAAAGAAAAUCACUGAGAGUUUUAUUUUCAAUGUUACUAAUGCUCCUCUUAUUAGCAGAUGUGAUUUUUAUAUUGACACCUUGUUGUUGCAAAUGUAAUUCAUAAGUUAUUUAUUAUAUAGAAUUCACAUUAAAAUAUUGCACAUAGUAUCAUUUGUCAAUAACAUUUUAUUGGAAUCACACACAGCCUUACUAUAACACCACUUGCUACCUUUUCUAAAACACUUUGUCCUUUUACUUUGAAUAUAUUUCUCUUAAGAAUUCUAGGAAAGCAUUUUUUAUCCAACUAAUUAAAAUCUUGUUAUUUAGUAAGUGUUUAACCCAUUCAAAGUUAUUUUUUUAUCUAUUUUUAUUUUUCUCUCAUUUAAAAUACUUCCUAUUGUAUUCAUUUUCUUAUGAAAAUAUCUAUUCUUUCUUCAUUAAUAUCAAGAAUUAGUACACAUUAAUCUUUUUGAAGUCAUAGUGUUUUAGGGGCAGCUUUUCUUAGUUUGCCUGCUACUUGGUGUUUUAAUGUAUUUUAUUUUGUUUCAAAAAUAAAAGUGGAGUUUAAAACAAAAACUAAAUAGCAGAAGAUUUGUGUGCACACUAAGUAUAUAAAAGUUUUUCCACCUAACUCAGGUCAAUAUUCUUCUCUGCUUUCUGGUCCUCAUUUACACAUUCCUGCUUUGUUUCAAGAGCAUGCACACUACCUUCCAAGUGAGCUUUUUCCUACAGACAAGUGAUAUGCUGGUCAUGUUUCCGUGGCAUUUUGCAGUAUGCAAACAUCUUCAAAUAAACCCAAGGUGUUGUUUUCCUCACUUUCUAAACAAUAAGCUUCAAUCCUAGGGAGGUUUAGAAGUAGUUGUCCAGGAUCCUAAGACAUACAAUGUCCAUCCUGACUCUGUUUCCAGGGUUUGUGAUUGUGUGGUGGGAACUUGGACUCAGAACAUGGAAGACCAAGGUACCCUGCCAAUUGCACAGACUGGUAGUCAGAGACUCCUGCUGUGUGUAGAGCUGUCACUCAUUGGAAAAUCGGGUAGCCAGGCCCUGGCUCAGAGCAAAGACUGAAUUUCAUGCUGGCUGAUCUAAAGUUCCUUACAAAUGAUCAUCCUUGAAAGGUAGAGGCAAUGUUUCCCUCACUGUCAGGCAGAGUGUGGUACACAGCAAAGGGAAUCUAUUCAUUACAUUUACAGAAAGCAGCAUAGAACAUCCCAUAAGAAUUUCUGUAGCAGAAGCCAGCACUGAUUCUUAAAGCACAAGAAAAUGAUGCAUAUUCUUCUGCCCAGUCCCCAGUCCCGGCAAUCAUUGCAAUUUCCAUGGCUCAGCACCUUUCACAGCCCAUUUACUGUAGGCUCAUGUGAGGGCAAUUUUAGCUACAUACUCACAUGGACCCAGCAGUGACAGGUGCCAAGAUAUCUGACGGGGUUUCCCAAACUCAAGUAGAAAUGAGAAAUAUUUGUUCUCAGGUUCAAUAUUCAGAAACCAGAGAUGGGAACUUCUUGGCUCUUACCUUUUUUUCACAAACCUUCCAUGACCCUGUCUUAUCUUCUUUAGAUUAAUGAUUACCUGGUUUUGCCGCCACAACACCAUCUGUAAGACCAUGCUCAUUCCCUUUUUCCUUUUAUAAGCACUCCCUUUGAAUAUAUCUGGUUUCACCUCUUCUUUGCCUUUCAUGAUGCUGUUACUUCUUAGUUAGGUUUUGUGGUAUUUAUCUUUGUGUGAUUUUGAACCAGAGUAUGACUUUCUUAAGGGCAAACUGUUUCCUAAAAUUUCCUUUGAUUUAUUCCCACUAGUGUUGUAUGUGUAGAUAAUAUGUAUCUGGCAAAGAGAGAAAAGAUUGGAGAGGCUGCAGGAUGUGUGGUCUGAACUGCGAGAAAGAAAAGACAAUAUCUAGAACACCUGCACUCUAUGGCAAGUGUGGAUGGCCACCACAUGUUCUAGGAGUCUAAAUAGUUUCUUGAACUUUGAAUAUCUGGCACAUUGGCAAAUACAGCUGAGUAGCACAGUUGCUCAUGGUGUUUUUUGUUUUGUUUUUGUUUUUUUUUAAUCUGGAUUAAGUUGUUUUAUACAAUUGUCAUUUUCUGGGCUGUAAUAAUUUUUUUCACUAACACAAGUCAUACAAAACAUUAGAGGACAGUGAUUUUGGCCAGCUGAAGCUGUGCCAUAGUUGAUGAUCUUUAGGAAGGUGUGAAGCUUGUCUGAAUACUCCCCUCCUGGUGGGUGUUGUUCUUCUCCUGCUGUCCCACAUUCUUGAACUCAAGAUAAGAAACUUUCUUAGUAAGUUCCCUAGUACUGUUCUAGGCCAUGAACUCAAGAUAAGAAACCUUCUUAGUAAGUUCCCUAGUACUGUUCUAGGCCAGGUCCCAUUUUCACGUGAUCUGAGGUGACCAGGUAAAGAAAAGGAACUCUGAGAAAGAAAAGGUGGGGUGCUACACCAAAACACUCAUUGGAAGGACCUUAUCUUUCCAGGAGUUGACCAGAGGAAGUACUACCCAGAACUGAGAUUGCAUCAUAAACUCUUGAGUCAUGCCUUACCCACUGGCUUUCUUCUUGUCCCAAAGUUUGCAGUACAAUUCCAUGUGUGAAAAUGAAUAGAAGAAUCUCACAGACUGGAUGCCACAUUAUGGAGAAGCAGAAAAUCCAGCCGUUCUGAGGUGGGCUUCUACUCAGAGCUGUGAAGGUCCUGUCUCCUACCAGUACGUGCCCAGACUGGGUAGCCAUUCUCAGGCUCUUGUUUACAGCUGUGCUCAGUGGGGCAAUCAGGCUCAACUGUCAGCUUCCAGCCUAAUUUGUGGACACAGAAUACAAAUAUUUAAGUGAUUAGGAAGACUCAGGCAAUGACCGAAGCUGUUCUUGCAUAAUUUUGGAUUCAUGAACGACAUGAGUAAUACACAAUAAAAAUUUCCUGAAAUUAUUUUA